CAGUGCUGCAUGAAAUGAAGAGAGAGAGACAGAGAGCGAGAGAGCGAGAGAGAGAGAGAAAAAAAGAGAGAGAGGGGGGAGUGAAGGAAAUUGAAAGACGGAAGGAAGAACAGGCAGAAAGGGUCGGAGAACGCAAGAGAGAAGGAUGCAGGAGCAGAGAAGGCCUCAGGUCGUAUCUGAGGUCGUAUCUGAGACACGGAGCCAUGUCGUAGACCAGAUGCAGCAGUUGGACUCUCGUUGGAUUCCUUGCCGGGACAGUGGAACAACUUCACUGCUGCUUAACAGAUUACUACCACUUUGAAGAAACUUCUCAAGAUGAAUGGGACCCCACUUGGACUUUUCAGUCAACUUCACCCUACUCUGUACCCUGGGCUGCUCUCUCCUCUCCCCAUCUGGCUACAGCUGUAGACUUCAGAGAAACCAUCUCCAAGUUCACCCCUUCCACUCGCUUCGGCCUCUUGGUGGUCUAAGAAAACACAGCACCAAGAGUCAGUAAUAUAAAAAAAAUCACAGGUACAAUACAAUCCAACUGAUUAAUUCAGUGAUUAAACCAAGACUUGCCUUCUAAAAUACACAUUUUGUUCACCUGACUUGUCACUUUUUAAUGUCUUUACCUUGAUGUACAGAUAGGUGGUGGAGUUGGCUUUCACCGACAGUGGAAAGCUGUCAGAGGAGAGACUGCAACAGAAACACAUUUCAUUAGGGGAUUGUUAAUCAUCAGAUUCGUCUGUGGAAAAUCUGUUAAUGUCAAAGUUCUAAGUAUGGUUUGUUUUCAGUUACCUGUGACAGUGAGGGAGAGGAGCUCACUCUCAGAAGAGAAGUCAUGUGAAAAAACAUAAAUCUCAUGAACACAGCUGUAGUUCCCUUGGUGGAAGCCAUCUGCAGCGGGAAAGAGGAAGGCAGCAGAGUGAUAGACAGCUGGCUAGGUCUGGGUUGUUUUGGAGUCAGGGUACGUGAGGAGGAAGGAGACACCCGGGUGCUGUGGCUGAGUGGAGCAGGUGCUGGUGAAGCUGUGGCCCCUGAACACCUCUAGAGUCCUUUGGUGGCCCCUGGAGACCCGUCCCAUUGAGAUGGUCAUGGAGAUAUCAGGCUUAAGCGGGAGAUCUAUAAAAAUAAAACACAAAAAUAAAAACCUCUUUUAAAGGGGCAAUCAGCAGUUGCUACAUCCAUGUUUUGACUUAUAAGUUAAUGCUAUGUACCCUUUGAUUCUUGAAGAGUAUAACUUAUAAAUGCCUCCUGAGCUUAGUUAUACUUUUGUAUCCCAUCAGAAUCCAAAAUAUAAGCUUGUUUUACUCCAGUGUUUGUAAAUAAGAUAAAUGUAAACAAACACUAUAUAGCCUCAAAACAUGGUUAAACUAACAUUUUGAUAUCAUGGAUGGUCAGUCCACGCAUCCAUAGCUCUCUAUGAAUUUGAAAGUGGUUACAUUUCUCCAACCCCCAUCCCUCGGCUUUUUUUUACAGAAACAGGGCUGGGAGUGGCUUUGUUAUUGUUUCAACUGCUGAUCGCCACUUUAACUCAUUUCAUCAUAUACUGUAGAUAUGACCAUAACAUCAGCAUGUAACAGUGCUUGCCAGCCUCUCUUACAGGGCAACAUCUGUGAUGGGCCUAUAGCGACUGAAAUUACAUGAAAAUACAAAAGCAUUGUGUGAUACUUUGCAUUGCUAUUGAAUUAUUAUUAGUUCAUCUUUAUUAAAGCAGCCAUAAAAGUUCAACUGUGAGAUGUGUGAAGGAAGUUGUAUAAAAAUCAGCAGAAUAUUAUAACUCUAGUGUUACCUGAGCAGAUCACCUUUAAUGGAGUCACCAAAGUUGGCCCUGUGCCUCUUCCACAGUCCCUGAGCGCCGGCUCAGGUCCAUUACAGUACACUUCAAACCCUUCAGUGCAUUUUCCCAAGUAGUGUUGAAACAGUGGAGCCACAGUCCAGCUGUCUACACAAAAACAUCAGCGACAUCCUUCAAUUUCCAGCCAUAUUUUACAGGCCACAUAUUCCUCUUUCCCUGUUGGUACCAUUCCACUCUACCAACGCAGCGACUGCCUCCUCCCACCAGCCUCACAUCAUCAGACUCUGGAGAAAGAAGAGUACAUACUAUUUAUUUAUCUAUUCUCAACAAGGUGCCACAGCCAAGCUCCCGACAGACGUCCUCUGCAUCCUGCCAGUCAAAGUCAGCUUCACACCCUGACGUCCAGGACUGAUUGGACUUCAGCUCCACUCUUCCAGAGCAGAAACCAGCUUCAUCCACAAACUUGACAAAAUCUGAACAAAAAGAGACGGUAGAACAUUCAGUUUUGUUGAUGGUACUAGUAUUUUCAGCCCCCAAAAUAUGAAUAUUGAAUAUUAAAUGAAAAUCUAAAAUAUCCUAAUUUUGUUUGAUACAAUCUUUAAUACAACACAUAUCAAUCUUACCUGAGCAGAUGACAUUAGCAUAAUUAUGCUUAUGCUCAAAGACACCAUCUCCAUGUGAGACUAAUGUACACUGCUCAAGAGUAGAAUCCUGACCUUAGCAAUCAAUACAUGCUAGUUGGUAUCCUCCACUUCCCUCCAAACUGAGGUCUGUAAGUUGCAGCUACAGCAUUCCCACAGUCCAUCUUUCUCCACACAUUAGCUGCUUUCAAGCCACAAUACAGUCCUCCAGUGUCCAUAGAAAAACACCUCUGCUCUCCGAGCGCAGGAGCUGCUUCCAUUCACCACCCUGAAUGGGCCUAAACACCAGGUAGGAAAAUACAAGGGUGAGGACAGAUUAUAUGGCAGAAUUAUUUUGAUUGUAACAGAAGUAGUGUCAGUGCUUUUGACAUUGUAAUAGCAGUUACUACAGAACAGUUCUUUAAAGCUGUAAUCUCUGUUGAUUGUUUUUCUACCAACCUGCUGGGCUGCCGAUUUGAGCCUGUAUAUCUGAGAAUAAAGAUAAAAGAAGAAACAUUAAUUUAACAUAUCCCAUAAAGUGAUGGGAAACAUAUUAAUAUGUGUGUGUUUGUUUGUGCUUUUUAAUCACACUAACUGUGAACUGCUCCAAA
rnacentral:lncRNA from 1 species